rnacentral:lncRNA from 1 species
UUCCUUGUGAGUCUGAAAGGGUUAAAGUAGUAUUUUUAAUUAAAAAGUCUUUUUCAAAGUUAAGACUAGGGUUCGACCGGUACGGAUAUUUAAGGAACCGAUGCUCAUGCUAAGUUUUUGGUGAAAAACAAACUGAUAAAAGAUUAAUCCGCUGAUGUUUUUUUUAUAAAUUCCCUCUUCAAAAUACAGUAAGGCCAAUAUACCAUGACAGGUAUAUCAAAUCAGCAGUAAUUCGUACUAAUGACUAGAGUUGAUAUCUUUCUAAGGAAAGAAGAACCCGAGGAGAAGGUUGGAGCCAGACAUAUGGUACCACUGAAUGUACUUUACACCAUUUUUAUAUAUUAUUAUUAUAAUUUAUGUAAUGUAAAGAUGGUAAUAUUGUCUACUUUAAAUAUAUGCAUCUGACCCGUUGACAGUACUAGGAUUGUGUUUGUAAAAACUUGAAACUCUAGCAUUUUGAUAGAAUUUAUUUAUUCUAAUUAACACUUAUUCACAGGAAUCAGAGUAAAUUAUUUCUCUCUUUAGAAUCUUUUAAAGUCUAGGAAUAACCAAUAGUUGAUGAAAGCCAAACUUGAUGAAUAAAAUGGAUGUAGAAGCAAAUCAAAGCAAAGUGUGAUUCGGGUAAUUUUGACGUUGUUUUCAAUAAUUACUUGGAAUUAAAAGUUUGGAGCAAUAUCAAAACUAACAGGGUAGAGAAGACCUGGGCCUGCCACUAUCAAGAAGGAUACUUUUUUUGGUUACUUUAGAUGCCAGUUGUAGUGUAAAUCACGGCUAUUUCUUGUAACGAAAGAAAUUAAGAAGAAUUGGAAGUACUAACGAGUACAGUUGAAUCAAGCGUACGUAUAUUUGAUACAACAACAAAUUGAAAGAGUAUUUAUCACUGAGAUCCUCAAGAACUAUGCAAACCAUUGGCGAAUUUCAAUCUAUUUCUCAUUUACCCAUUUUUUUCUCCCACUUUGAUGCUAAAAAUGUGUAGUGCCAGUUCAACGCCAGCACUUCCGAAAUGGCAACCAUUAUGUCCAAGGUUCACUACAAAAAUUAAGGAACUUCCGUGGAUAUUAAAACAGAAGAACAAUUUAAAAAUCGUUUCUUAUUGAAUAAUUUAGUGACAAAUGAAGACUUUAAAGCAUGUUGUGGAGUAGAAAAGUAUUUUUUCGAUUAUUUACUGUUUCAAUUUGAGUCAAAAUUUAAAAAAAAUGCCAGGCUUGAGAUUAGUUGCUUGCCUCCUUCCCUUUCUUGUUAAACUUUACCAUAAAAUAUUGUUUAUAUUCUUGGUACUAUGUUUAACAUUCAU